AUCAACUUUCGAUGGUAGGAUAGAGGCCUACCAUGGUGGUAACGGGUAACGGGGUGUUAGGGCACGACACCGGAGAGGGAGCCUGAGAAACGGCUACCACAUCCAAGGAUGGCAGCAGGCGCGCAAAUUACCCAAUCCCGACACGGGGAGGUAGUGACAAUAAAUAACAAUACGGGGUUCUUUCGGAUCUCGUAAUUGGAAUGAGUACAAUUUAAAUCUCUUAACGAGGAACAAUUGGAGGGCAAGUCUGGUGCCAGCAGCCGCGGUAAUUCCAGCUCCAAUAGCGUAUAUUAAAGUCGUUGCAAUUAAAAAGCUCGUAGUUGAAUUUCGGGGUUAGUAGGUUGGUCAUGCCUCUGGUAUGUACUGGUCUCACUGAUUCCUCCUUCCUUAUGAACCGUAAUGCCAUUAAUUUGGUGUUGCGGGGAAUUUGGACUGUUACUUUGAAAAAAUUAGAGUGUUUAAAGCAGGCUAACGCUUGAAUACAUUAGCAUGGAAUAAUGAAAUAGGACGUUCGAUCUUAUUUUGUUGGUUUCUAGGAUUGACGAAAUGAUUAAUAGGGAUAGUUGGGGGCAUUAGUAUUCAAUUGUCAGAGGUGAAAUUCUUGGAUUUAUUGAAGACUAACUACUGCGAAAGCAUUUGCCAAGGAUGUUUUCAUUAAUCAAGAACGAAAGUUAGGGGAUCGAAGACGAUCAGAUACCGUCGUAGUCUUAACCAUAAACUAUGCCGACUAGGGAUCGGAUGAUGUUAAUUUUUUAAUGACUCAUUCGGCGUCUUACGGGAAACCAAAGUGUUUGGGUUC
rnacentral:rRNA from 1 species